GACGUAGGGCGCAAGCGUUGUCCGGAUUUAUUGGGCGUAAAGAGCUCGUAGGCGCCUGUCGCGUCGACCGUGAAAACCCGCAGCUCAACUGCGGGCUUGCGGUCGAUACGGGCAGGCUGGAGUUCGGUAGGGGAGACUGGAAUUCCUGGUGUAGCGGUGAAAUGCGCAGAUAUCAGGAGGAACACCGGUGGCGAAGGCGGGUCUCUGGGCAGUAACUGACGCUGAGGAGCGAAAGCGUGGGGAGCGAACAGG
rnacentral:rRNA from 1 species